CCUACGGGAGGCAGCAGUAGGGAAUCUUCGGUAAUGGACGAAAGUCUGACCGAGCAACGCCGCGUGAGUGAAGAAGGUUUUCGGAUCGUAAAACUCUGUUGGUAGAGAAGAACGUUGGUGAGAGUGGAAAGCUCAUCAAGUGACGGUAACUACCCAGAAAGGGACGGCUAACUACGUGCCAGCAGCCGCGGUAAU
rnacentral:rRNA from 1 species